rnacentral:rRNA from 1 species
CACGUAGGGGGCAAGCGUUGUCCGGAUUUAUUGGGCGUAAAGAGCUCGUAGGUGGUUCGGUAAGUCGGGUGUUAAACCCCCAGGCUCAACCUGGGGACGCCACUCGAUACUGCUGUGACUAGAGUCCGGUAGGGGAGCGUGGAAUUCCUGGUGCAGCGGUGAAAUGCGCAGAUAUCAGGAGGAACACCAGCGGCGAAGGCGGCGCUCUGGGCCGGUACUGACACUGAGGAGCGAAAGCGUGGGUAGCAAACAGG